GUGAAUGUCCUUUAGGUGUGAUAUAUGGCCUCUCUUUGACCACCAAGGUGGUGCACCCAACCUGAAUUUAUUCUUUUAAUAUCUCAGCCUAGGAGUGAUAGCUCCAUGUUCUUUAUUCUCUUUGAUGAAGCACUUAAGGGAUUACCUGUACCUUCCAAGCUGAAGUGCUGCUCAGGAGAGAAAGGAAAGGAGUGUGGCCCUGUGACCUAAUGGAAUUAAUAACUUUGGGGCAAUUUAUCUUCUCUUGUUGACUUCCCACACCCCUUAUUUCCAUCCUUACUGCCAAGACCCAUUAGGGACACCAAGUUGGUGGUGAAAAACUGAGAAGCACUCUAAAAAUGUGCAGGGGGUGGGACAUUUGGGCAUUUCUUUCUUCAUUUUGUUCUCUUGUAGAGGUGGGGUCUCACUUUGUUGCCUAGUCUGUCUUUGUAAGGAAAGAAGGAAGCUUCCUUAUCCUGUCACUACUCAAGCUGCAGUGAAUCGUACCCUUUGUUAUGGCCCCUCUUGCACCAAAACGGGGAGCUCCCACCUGAUGCUCAGCACCUCCUCAGCAUUUUCUCUUGCUACCUCACAAGAUGGUAAGCUCUCUUUGGAGAAACACAAACAUCUCCUCCCACCACGUCCCGCCCUGGUGUCCCAGGCUCUUGGAGAUGCUCAGAAAACACACAGAGAGGUGGAACAGCACAUGCGUGACAGCUGAUGAUGGAUGUUGUGGUGACUCCUAAAUAGCUCUCCCCACAAACCCUGGAGCCCUGCACCCCAGCGCCCCCGAGCCUCCCCUCUAGACCUUCUGUGUUGCCAGAACUGUGAUGGAUGGCAGCACCAUCAUCUGUCCUUUUCCCUGUCCUUCUGGCACACAGGACAGUGCCCAACAUGAGGACAAUUGGGAGGAGUUGGGAGAAAAAUAACACUGUUGAUGUAGCCAAGAAGCCAGGCGAGAUGAUUUACCAUACAUUCCUCAUGGAGGCCACUCCCUCCACCCCUGACGCCUGACUGGCUCCAGUUUAAACAUUCCCUUUGGUGUUUGAGGAGAAUGGAUGGAAUUUGCCUGUUUCUCUUCCAACAGCAGCUAGUGCCUGGGGACAGGAUUGCUGUGGCUGACACGUAGAGACAGCCAUCAUCAGCCAAAGAGAGGGGACUGGAGGGCCCCCACUGACCACCAUGGAGCCGAGACAGAACUUGCUGCUCCUCUCUGACACCUGAUCCCCACCACUCCCACCUGUAUGGCCAUCGAGGCUGGACUAAUGGAGAGGAGGGAAACUGAGGGAGAGGGAGGGGUCGAGUGAAAUGGAAAGGUGUGGAGAAGAGCUGCAGCUGGUGUCUGAACCCAGCUAUCAGACUCCCCUUUGACCUGAUGCCUCUUUCUCUACAUGGUGCCUCAGUUUCCCUCCGGGGUUUGAAGGGCUGCACCUGGUCAGAAUUUGCUAAAGUGUGGCGUUACAAUGACAGGAAAAAUCUCUAAUAUAUCCACAGGCCCCAAUCACUGACAACCUUCCUUGUGAACAAAGCUGGACUCAGGCUCUGAAUCCUCUUGAGGCAAGAGUCUCUAGCUAGACUUCAGUAACACGCGGUUUCUGUUUUUCACAGUUACCAUCUAUUAAAUAUGGCAAGGAUUAAUGAUUUCCCACUUCUGACCCUGUGUAAAGAAAUCUAC
ensembl:lncRNA